ACAAGUUCACCCCUGAAUAUUUAGUAAGGUGCUAAGGUACCUGUGGGAUUGCCUGAGUUGUGACUCUUAAGACAUUGCAAGUAAAAAGUUACAACUGACAUCAGCAUCCAACCAUUCUUCUGUAAGUAGCAAUAUUCUAUUUCCUUUUGCCUUGGUGGGUCCAUCAGUCUACGUGUCUACUCUCCCAGGGCCAAGGCGGGACCCAAAUCAACCACUCAUUCUCCAAACAUUUCCAACACAGGAGGAAAAACACAAGGUCAGGGCCGAUUCACUGACUGCUGUGUGCUGAAGUAACUGCCUGUCAGAUCCUCCUUCAUGGAUCCCUAGAGAGGCUCUCCUUAUUCAUUGCAGAUGCACGCUUUUUGCAGAGCACCCUUGAAACAUGCUAAUUAAUUAUUUUUUUUUAAUCUAAGUUACCCAGUGUUGGUUUCAUCUACCUGCUGCCCUACUGCAGAAUCAGAAAGUGGGAAUCUGCUUUGUGGCGGGAUGACGUUCACCAAGCAUCGUUCAGGGCUGGUUCACCAUGAUGCCUGUCCAAACCCCUGAGCACCUAGUGUCUGUACCACACAUGAUAACCACAGGAAAAAUGGUUAUCCAGACCAGCCCUUUAACUCAAGAAUCACAAAUGCAACAUCUAGCAUGGAGAAGCAGGACAGCCCUUCGUAUGUUUGAAGACUGCUCUCUCAUGCCCUCUGCCUUUCUUCCUGAGACCUUCCUGGAAUCAUAGCUCUUCUCUCUGUGCUCAUUCUGUCUGACCCUUCUAAAACGCAAAGAUUGGUACCAACCAGCAUCCUCCUGGGUCAGGAGCAAGGACAGCGAAACCAUGACCACUGAAGUGUUUCUUUUUAACUACAAAUCAUCUAAACUCUCCUUAAAAUUAUUCAAUCUUUUUCCAGGCAAAGAGAUUUUCUUUGGUGAAGAGAAAAAUUGCUUAAAGUGGUUUGACCCACACCUCUCUCUCUGGCCUCCUUCCUCUUCCUAGAAAUCCAGCUAUUGAUUCAGCUUCUACUCAUGCCUGUAAUCUCUUGCUCAAGCGUCACUUCCUCAACGAAGCCGUCUCAGACCAGCUACCAGUCUGGGUCAAGCUCCUCUGUUGAAUGAUAUUUUCCUUUAGAACAUUCAGCUCUGUCUGUAAUUACACACAGUUACUGUGACUUCGUUAUUUGAUGCCUGUGUCCCCGUCUAGAUUGAUAAGCUCUGUGAGAGCAGAGUGCAAGCCUGUAUAGCCUAGCCCAGCUAAUAAAUGGGUAGGUGGUGAGUUGUGAGUGAAUGUGUAGGGGAGUCUGACUUGUCAAUAUUCUGCUUUAUUAUCAGAACAAAUGAAAACUCCAGUUUUUGGUCAUUUUCAUAUGGCUGGAUACCUUCCCCUUCUCAACCUGGCACUUGUAGAAUAAAUUUUAUAACCUAAAUGCAAGACCAGUAUGUAUGUCUCUUAAAGGAUACCUUGACAACUUUACCCUGCAUUCUAGUUUAGUAAACCA
rnacentral:lncRNA from 10 species